GAGACGGAGAGAGAGAGAGAGGCGCGACGAGAACAAGAGAAGCAUGGCGGAUCUGUGUCCUCUUCCAUCUCCCCGUAGACUCAAUGGAGGUGCGUCCAUCCUCUUCUUCUCAAGCGAUAUCUCACUUGCAGUGGCAUCUGAGAUCUCUCAACGGGUGAUAUUAAGAUGGAGAAAUUAACGAUGGAUGAUUGUCGCCGAAAAGGAUGAGCUCUCUAGGAUCCUACAGCAUCAUCUCCAGCCAUCUCUGUGAGCUGCUUGGAAAUAAUAACGAAGGAUAUCUCUUGUUUCUACUCUCUCUCUCUCUCUCUCUCUCUCUCUCUCUCUCUCUCUCUCUCUCUCUCUCUCUCUCUCUCUCUGUGUGUGUGGUGUUGACAAGGUCGAGUGGGUGUAUCUUGCUAGAGUUGUCAUGAAGAAGCACAAAAAACAAGUCCAUAAGUUACGUCGAAAGACUAAAGACUUCUCCUUUCUAUAAUGUUCUAUCAUAGUUGUAUGUUUCUUCCAAAACUAGUACACCGAUCAGCAACGACAUGGAUAUGCAUGUCACGUUAUGUUUGCCUAUCGUGUAAGAAACGGUGCCUCUUCGUCAACCGCUAUAUCUUAUGGCAAGAGGGUCGUAGGGAGACUUGGAUCUGCUACGCAGGCACGAAAGAGAGAGAGAGAGAGAGAGAGAGAGAAGAUUAUUUGGACUAAGGUGUUUGAAUAGGAUUAAAUAAAAAACAAAAAAUAAAUUAAACAUGAAUAUUAUGGUGUUUGAGAAGAACUAUAGAUGUACAUAAAUUAAUCUGCCUUCGAAUUCCAAAUAUAUGCUAAUUUUCUUCAUUAUUUAUACUUGUUAUUUUAUCCAAAUAGUUAGUUCAUCACUGUCAUCGAUGUUCAAAGUCAUGGGUGGUUGAUCAUUCUUUGUUCUUGAUGGAGUCGUCGCAAGACCAUUUCGACGGAUUCCAUCUUCUUCUACAUCAUAUGAAGGCGGGAGGCGAGUGCAAGGCACCAACGACCCGCCCGCUCUCCUCUCCAUCCGGCCUCAUCUGCACCCUCGUCCUCGUUCGCCGGCGACAACCCCAGGGCACUUGAAUUAAACGGCCCUCACAGGUUGGAAGCCAAGACAAAGGAGGACUGGGAGUUCUUCGCUUCCUUAGCCAACUGCAAACACCUUCACACCUUGGACCUGUCACACAACAAGCUGGAGGGGGAACUGCCGAUCCCCAUAACCGAUCUAUCGCCACAACUGGCAUUUAUUGGUUUGGGAGGAAACAAUAUAACGAAUGAACCUACUUCCGCAGAUCUAGCGAGCCUCCGCCCUACUCUUCAGGUGGAUAAGACGGCCGCCACAGCUGUGUGUCCCGACUGCCGAGAUGGAAGCAUAGACGAUUAAUUCGAAUGGCCAAAGUGAGACACCAACAGGAUAGUUUGUCGCUCACUAAAAUGUUUAAAUUGGGCUGAGGCUGUGGAAAGUUAGAAGACUUUGGUGUAAGUUUGAGAAGAGAAGGAAGAUGAAUUGAAGUAGAGGAAGAAAAAGCUUUGCCUUGGCUUGAGAUUUUGCAUCAAUUCCACACCUUUAAGACUCAAAUUUGUUUAAGGCACAUGCAGUCUGCUGUUCCACAUGUGUUUCUGAUAUCUCCCAAUUUAUUGUUCACAAUGCUCUUUUGUACUCUAAUGUUUGUGGGAUAAUAUGAAACAUUGCCAGAAAUGAUAAAGGGAUUAUUUAGACUUUUGUCAGAAAUGGUAAAAGGUAUGUGCUUGGAGCCCGCGAUGCUCUAGAUUAUGUUUAGUGGUCAUUCAAAAAUGGAUGAACCAUAUUAUGUUAUGGUCUCACUUCACCAUCUAUAUGUUUAACGUGAUGUCUA